rnacentral:sRNA from 1 species
GUAUUGGGAAGGCAGAUAAAAUGCCAGGUCUGGACUGCCUCUGGGCAUAACCUCACCCUGUGGGAUGUGAAUGAAUAGCAUCUUGCCUGGUAAAUCCACAGGAAUUGAUAAGGCAGGCGCAGUUCUCCCAAACAGGCCUUUUCUCUUUAAGCUGUAGCUGUGGUUUCUGCAGCAAUUUUGUUUUUGCCUUGAAAGAGGUGCUCUGGAUUAUCAGACCUCCAUGUAUGACAAUUUGUACCUGCAUGGAAUUGAAGACUCGGAGGCUGGUUCAGCGGAUUCCUACACAAGCAGGCCGUCUGACUCCGAUGUCUCUUUGGAAGAGGACCGGGAAGCAAUUCGACAGGAGAGAGAACAGCAAGCAGCUAUCCAGCUUGAGAGAGCAAAGUCCAAACCUGUAGCAUUUGCCGUGAAGACAAAUGUGAGCUACUGCGGCGCCCUGGAUGAGGAUGUGCCUGUUCCAAGCACAGCUAUCUCCUUUGAUGCUAAAGACUUUCUACAUAUUAAAGAGAAAUAUAACAAUGAUUGGUGGAUAGGAAGGCUGGUGAAAGAGGGCUGUGAAAUUGGCUUCAUUCCAAGUCCACUCAGAUUGGAGAACAUACGGAUUCAGCAAGAACAAAAAAGAGGACGUUUUCACGGAGGGAAAUCAAGUGGAAAUUCUUCUUCAAGUCUUGGAGAAAUGGUAUCUGGGACAUUUCGAGCAACUCCCACGUCAACAGGUGAGGGUUGUAGUUAAACUCUUUUUCAUACACUGUAUUCCUUUUAAAAAUAUUUGAACACACAUGCAAGUAUUUUUGCUAAUUUGGAAACAAUUUGAAGGCUUAAUUUAAAGAUUUCUCUAAUUAAUAUUUCAUUUCUCAUUUGUUUUCUAUGGUAAUUUGAUUUCAUUUAAAAUGGUAUUAAAAAUUCAUGUCAUUAGAAUAUAAUUUUGAAAAAUCUUAUUUACCCCUCAGAGUUAAUAACUGUCCAUUGUGUAAAUUGAUAUUCAAAAAAUUCAUUAUUUUACCUAAGAAGCGGACAGAGUUUAAGAUGGUGAAGGCCAAUAAAAAAAGGAAAAAAAUUAUGCAGACUCUCAAGAAAAUGCUGUUUUCAGUCUCCAUGUGGAAUUUCAGGAUGUAUUAGUACAGCCCGAGCUGAAAGGGUUGAAGCAGAGAGUAAGGCAGGGCCCAAAGGAGGGAGGGUCUCAUUUACAUUUGGACAGCAGACAGCCAAGCCCUGGAAUUAAUGGUAAUGAAGAGAUAUUGGUGGCCUAAUAGGGAGUUGUGGUACAUUUGGAAACGAUGGAGUUAUUCAUGUAGGAAUUUUUCUUCUACCACAUUCCCUGAUUCCUAUCGGCUAAUUUCAUUCUGGCCUAGAACUGCUGUUGCAUUAGGGCAUCCAGUGUCCUAGUUACCAAUUCCAAUUGUAUUACCAAUUUGGAAUGGCAAGUCCAAGGCCCUAUUCUGGCCUACCAAAACUGGAGGCAACUGGAUUGGUUCUGGAGUGGUUCUAAGUGUCUGGGUCCUUGUUCAUGUGAAGCCCUCUUAUCUACAGGACACUGAACCAAACCAGGUUUCUGAGUUGUACCCAACUAGACUGGAGCUGCUUGGAUGUCCACAGAAUCGCUUUAAAUCAGUUAUUGAGUAUAUUUUGCUUCGUUCCCAUUUGUUGGACAUUCAGGACAUUGAACACUUUAGCUAUUACAAACAGGAAAGAACAGGAAUAACUCAUUAUAAAUUUAUCUGAGGAAUAACUGGUUAUAAAUGUAUUUGAAAUUUAAAAGCAAGAUAGUAGGGAAAAUGUGCCAAUAUUCUAGAAAAUGGGCAAAAAUGCCCAAGGGACUGCAGAAUUAUGAGUUAACAAAUAUAAAAAUAACUAUUGAUUGAGGUGAUAGUCAUUUUUGCCCAAGUGGUUAUUCUGUUUCCUUUUAUGAAAUUGCAUUUGUCUACCUUGUUCCCAGCAACACUGUGCUGUGUCCAGCACGGGAACAACCCAUGGUGAAUGGCUGGCCCGGAACUUCCAGUGUUGCUCUCAACUCCUGUACCCAACUCCCACCCAGUGAGAAAUCAGGAUAUAAGGUCAUUUGUACCAGGGAGGAAGCUGUCUGUUUUUCAUACAUCUUCAAAAUUGACGUGUCCAGAAUGAAAUCAUAAGGCAGGUUCUCCAAAGUGGGCGAUAGGAAGGUGGUGAAGAUAAUUACAGGGACAAAUGGGUACAUUCUUCCAUCUUUUAAACUCAUGUACUGUCAUUUGCAGAGAUUACAUAUUUUGAUAUGGCUCUCAUUAUUGUCUUUUAGCAAAACAGAAGCAAAAAGUGGUAAGUUGUGUUUCCUUUUUAAAUCUACUGUUAAGGUUCCUAUAUAUACAUGCCUGCAAUGCUCCAUUUCAGUGACCCAAGUGGCUAUAAAAUAAGGGAAGAGCCUCCUCGGUGGGGACUUCGAUAAUCAUUUGUCGUUCAACCUGAGAAUUAUGAAUGUUGUGGCUGUGGAGAGGCAUGCUCAACCUCACCUUGUCACGCGUGUCGAAUCAUCUUUUUCAGACGGAGCACAUUCCUCCUUACGAUGUUGUGCCGUCAAUGCGUCCGGUGGUGUUAGUGGGGCCGUCACUGAAAGGUUACGAGGUAACAGACAUGAUGCAGAAAGCCCUCUUUGAUUUCCUGAAGCACAGGUUUGAUGGGAGGAUAUCAAUAACGAGAGUGACAGCUGACAUUUCUCUUGCUAAGAGGUCUGUCCUAAAUAAUCCCAGCAAGAGAGCAAUAAUUGAACGUUCGAACACCCGGUCCAGCUUAGCGGAAGUACAAAGUGAAAUUGAAAGAAUCUUUGAGUUGGCAAGAUCUUUGCAACUGGUCGUUCUUGAUGCAGACACCAUCAAUCACCCAGCACAACUUAUAAAGACUUCCUUAGCACCAAUUAUUGUUCAUGUAAAAGUCUCAUCUCCAAAGGUUUUACAGCGGUUGAUUAAAUCUAGAGGAAAGUCACAAAGUAAACACUUGAAUGUUCAACUGGUGGCAGCUGAUAAACUUGCACAAUGCCCCCCAGAAAUGUUUGAUGUUAUAUUGGAUGAAAAUCAGCUUGAGGAUGCGUGUGAACAUCUAGGGGAGUACCUGGAGGCGUACUGGCGUGCCACCCACACAACCAGUAGCACACCCAUGACCCCGCUGCUGGGAAGGAAUUUGGGCUCCACGGCACUCUC